AGAGUUUGAUCAUGGCUCAGGAUGAACGCUAGCUACAGGCUUAACACAUGCAAGUCGAGGGGAAACGACAUCGAAAGCUUGCUUUUGAUGGGCGUCGACCGGCGCACGGGUGAGUAACGCGUAUCCAACCUGCCCAUCACUUGGGGAUAACCUUGCGAAAGUAAGACUAAUACCCAAUGACGUCUCUAGAAGACAUCUGAAAGAGAUUAGAGAUUUAUCGGUGAUGGAUGGGGAGUGCGUCUGAUUAGCUCGUUGGCGGGGUAACGGCCCACCAAAGCAACGAUCAGUAGGGGUUCUGAGAGGAAGGUCCCCCACAUUGGAACUGAGACACGGUCCAAACUCCUACGGGAGGCA
rnacentral:rRNA from 1 species